rnacentral:snoRNA from 1 species
CUGAAAGCCAAUAACCUGUUUAUUUUAACUUUUUUUUUCUACAGAAAUUAAGCAAACUGUCAAUAGUGAUGCUGUGUUUUGAGUCUUAAGGGCAAUUGAGGUCUUUAGGGACACUGAAAAUGUCUAUAAUA